GUGAGGUGUGGCCAUCAUGGACCCACGAGAACCCUUGGCUGGUGACACAAUAACUCCUUAACUCUUGAGGUGAAUGAAACUCCAGUUAUUUAGUAUGGCAUCAACAAGUAAUUGUUUUUGUUGCAAGAGGAGUUUGAAUGAGGGCGAAACUGUGAAUGUGAAGGAUGGCAUCCACAACUUGAGAUGUGUAAGUCAUAUCCGAAAAGGCAGUGAUUUUGAGAUGUUAAAGAAAGUGGACACCAUUGAAAUGCAUAAAGUUUGCAGAUGUGAGUACAUUAAGGAGAAAAAUAUAGCCAGAUAUUUAUAAAAAACAGAAGCCUUAAAACAAAGAGAGUGUACUUUGUGGUCAGAAGAAGAAUUUGAUUUAAAAAACAAUUGUUUGUUCUGUGGUGAAAAAUGUGAUAUUGCUGCAGAAAGGAAAAAACCUGUGGAUAAACGCGAAGUUAUGUGGGAAGUUCGUACUCUGACCAUGAAAACAAACAACUGAAGGAUGCUGAGCAAAGGAAAGACGAAUGGAGCGAGAAAGUAUCGAGACGAGUUAACAGCGUCAAGUGCCUUGUAGCAGAAGAAGCGUGUUAUCAUGGAAAAUUUUACUAAAAAUUUGCAUGCAACCGACCAUCAACUCUAAAACGAGGACAGGCACAGGAUGAACACAUGAUGGCUCAAUUUUUCUAUGUUUGCACUUAGACAACUGGUCAGUGGAUAAACCAGGGCAUAAUUAUAUUUAUUAAGCUCUGAUAAAUAUGCUUCAAUA